AAACGAUGCAGACUCGGUGAUGCAUUGGCUUGUGGCCAAUGCAGUGCCGCAGGGAAGCCGUUAAGUCNNNNNCCUGGGAANNNNNUACGCAAGUAUGAAACUUAAAGGAAUUGGCGGGGGAGCACCACAAGGGGUGAAGCCUGCGGUUCAAUUGGAGUCAACGCCAGAAAUCUUACCUGGGGAGACAGCAGAAUNNNNNUCAAGCUGAAGACUUUACCAGACACGCUGAGAGGUGGUGCAUGGCCGUCGCCAGCUCGUGCCGUGAGAUGUCCUGUUAAGUCAGGUAACGAGCGAGACCCCUGCGUCUAGUUGCUACCAUUACUCUCGGGAGCAGUGGAGCGAAUUAGACGGACCGCCACAGUUAAUGUGGAGGAAGGAAGGGGCCACGGCAGGUCAGUAUGCCCCGAAACCCUAGGGC
rnacentral:rRNA from 1 species